rnacentral:rRNA from 1 species
UACGUAGGGUGCGAGCGUUAAUCGGAAUUACUGGGCGUAAAGCGUGCGCAGGCGGUUUGUUAAGUCUGAUGUGAAAGCCCCGGGCUCAACCUGGGAACUGCAUUGGAAACUGGCAAGCUCGAGUAUGGCAGAGGGGGGUGGAAUUCCGCGUGUAGCAGUGAAAUGCGUAGAUAUCCGGAGGAACACCGGUGGCGAAGGCGCUGCUCUGGGCCGGUACUGACGCUGAGGAGCGAAAGCGUGGGUAGCAAACAGG